UACGCCUGAAAUCAAUGGAAGACGAGUUAGCAGGGUUAACACUUAAUGAAGAAGAAGAUGCAAUCCUACAAGUCCAAUUAGAACCAAAUACAGAAAGAGGAGAGGUGAUAUUCAGGUUAGUAGGAUGUUUUCUAACUGCUAGUAUUAUUCAUUAUCCUACAAUGAAAAAUACUAGGCAAAACUUUGGCACCCAGUUAAGGGAGUUCAUAUACGGGAUUUGGGAGAAAAAAGAUUUUUGUUCCAAUUCUAUCACAUCAUGGAUUUGGAUAGGGUGUUGAAGGGAUCUCUAUGGACAUUCAAUAACCAUUUUCUAGUGUUACAUAAGUUACAGUGGGGAGAAAAUCCUCUCAAAAUUCCAUUAAUCAUGGCACCUUUUUGGGGUCCAGAUACAUGACGUCUCCAUUGGCCUUUUUUCAGAAAAUUUGGCAGUACAGUUGGAUAACUUUGUAGGUGAAUUUAUUAAGUAUGAUGGAUCAAAUCUGGGGAAAGAAAAUAGCAAUUAUAUGCGGGUAAGAGUUAGGAUUGAUGUGCGACAACCGUUAAAAAGGAGGAAACAAAUUUUAUUCUGUAGGAAUUGUACUUAUGUAAGUUUAGGUAUGAACGAUUGUCCCUUUUUCUGUUUUUAUUGUGGUCGAUUGGGACAUAAUGAUUCCUUUUGUGAAGCAAAGAUGGCGCUAGGGGUGGAAAUAGCUGAGAUGGAUUGGGAUCUAUUAUUACGAGCCCAGUCACGGAGGGCUGCAGCAAUAAAUAGUGUGUGCAGCAAUAAGUGAGGGAAAAUUGAAAGGAGACGGCGAAGCUGUUUUUAUGAUUGGGAGUAAUUUGUGGACUGGUAAAAAUAAAAUAGUGGGGUGUGGAAAGGCUUUUGACCCAAUUUUGGAUUCACUUGGAAGGCCAAAAGAACUUUAGAAAUCACAGGAGGAAAAAUUUAAUGUCAGAUCAAGUGUUAACUGAUAUGGAGCAUGAUCUGGAGGAUGGUGUUCUGAUUGAUGAAAAAGGGGAAAAAGGGCUAGAGGAGAGAUGGAAGGUGCGAUAGUUUUGGGAAAUAAGAAUUUUUCGACAGACAGGAAUAGGAGAUUGUUAGAGGUUAAUAACUUUGUAUCGGCGGCUGCCAAGAGGCAAGUUGACAGGACGCAAUGAAAUUACUAAACUGGAAUGUUCGUGGAUUGGGGAGUCCACGGACAGUUUGGAGACAUUGAUAUAUGUUGAAGGUACAGAAUCCCCAAAUAGUCUUCUUCAUGGAGACAAAGAUAUGUAAAAAUCAAAUGGAAAGAAUCUGUUACAGUUGCGGGUAUGUUAAUGGGAUAGAAGUUGAUCCAGAAGGUACUAGAGAAGGGUUAUGUUUGGCAUGGAAAUCUUAGGGGUGUGUUAUGUUGCGACAGUACUCAAAAAGGCAUAUUGAUGUGGUGAUAGAUGAUAGUGAUGUAAGAGUGAUUUCAACGAAAUAUUGUACGGAUAUGAAAAGAAGGGUGGAGUACCUAGAGAUGAAAGAAGAAUGGAGUUAUUUUGCAAUGUUCUAACAGAUUGCAGCCUAGUGGAUGUGGGGUUUUUUGAGAGAUGAUUUGCAUGUGAGAGGGGAAAUUUACCUGAGACAAAUAUACGCGAAAGGCUUGAUAGAGGCAUUGCAAAUGAAGAAUGGAUGGCCUUGUUUCUUGAGGUAACUAUCCAACACCUUAUUCAUUCUUUCUCUGAUCAUUGCCCCAUUUUAGUUAAUACAAAGAAGGCAGCACAAGGGGUGACAGAGAAAGCUUUUAAAUUUGAAGCUUGGUGGACAAUGGAGAAGUCGUUCUAAGAAGAGGUUUAAAACAUCUGGGGGACAUCAUCAGGUAAUUUGAUACAGAAAUUAGAUAAGCUAAAGCAUGGUUUGAGGAGUUAGGCUGUUCAGACCCAAGUUGAUCGGAAGAAGCGAAAUACAGUUCUCACAGAUAAGGUAUCAGAACUCUUAGCAGCUGAAAGAGACGGUUCUAAUUUGGCAGAGUUGAUUGACACAAAGAUUCAACUAAAUCUUGAAAUAGAUAAGGUUGAAUGCUACUGGGAACAAAGAGCGCGCACAAACUGGCUGAAACAUAGAGAUAGGAAUACUGCUUUCUUUCAAGUCAAGCCAUACAAUGAAGACUAAGGAACCUGAUUCAUAAAUUACAAGACGAGAAAGGAAGAGAAGCGAAGAUCAUCUAAGAUAUAGAAGACAUUGCACAAUCCUAUUUCCAAAAUUUAUUUACAAUAGAAAGAAGGAGAAGUUGUGAUCAUUUUCUAUUGAGAAUUGAUAGAUGUAUUUCUGAGGAGGAUAAUCAAUUUCUUACAGCAUUCUACACAAAGGAAGAGAUUAAAGUAGCAGUGUUUGAGAUGGAACCUACAAAAGCCCUAGGAAAGACGGAUUACCGGCUUUAUUUUAUCAAAAGUGUUGGCACAUUGUUGGAGAUGAUGUAAUCAAAUUCUGCUUACAAGUACUGAAUAAGGAUAAGGGUUUCAAACAGGUAACUCUACACACAUUAUACUCAUUCCAAAAGUGCCUAAUUCUGUUAAUAUGAAGCAGCUCAGACCAAUCAGCCUAUGUAAUGUGAUUUAUAAAAUUAUGGCAAAAGUUAUUGCCAACAAGCUCAGAGGACUUAUUGAGAAAUGUAUUUAUGUGGCUCAGAGUGAUUUUGUACCAGGAAGGCUGAUUUUGGAUAAUGUUCUUCUUGCUUAUGAAAUUCUACACACAUCGAAACAGAAGAGAGUGGGGCAAAAAGGCUUUAUGGCAAUGAAGCUUGACAUGAGUAAAGCAUAUGAUAGAGUUGAGUGGAAAUUUAUAAAAGAAAUAAUGACUCAAAUGGGCUUCGUUUGUAAUUGGAUUGAAACUAUUAUGGAAUGCAUAACUUUUGUAUCCUAUUCGGUUAUAGUAAAUGGAUUCAAAAGGGAGAAUUUUCAACUGACAAGGGGGCUGUGUCAAGGGGAUCCGCUUAGCUAUUUUAUGUUUCUUAUAUGUGGGGAAGGCUUAUCUAGUCUAAAGCUUCUUGCAUUGAGCACAAGAAUGUUGAGAGGAGCAAAAGUCAGUAGGAGUGGUUUGCAGGUAUCGCAAUUAUUAUUUACAGAUGAUUGCACUUUAUUUAGUGAAGCAACUAGUAGAGGAGCUAAUGUUUUAAAAGAAAUUCUCAGAAAGUACAGAAUGUGUUUAGGGCAGAGUGUUAAUUUCGACAAAUCAACUGUCUUUUUUAGCAAGAUUACAUCUGAAGUUGAAAGAAGAGGGGUGGUAAAUAUAUUGAGAGUUAGAAGUUCGAAUGACCCGGAAUGUUACCUAGGGUUGCCUAAUAUGGUAGGCAGGAAGAAAAGGGAGUUGUUCUAGAAUUUAAAAGAUUGAAUCAAGAAGCAAAUUGAUCACUGGAGUACGAGACAUCUAUCGCAAGGAGGGAAUGAAGUAUUUAUUAAGUCUAUUUUGCAAGCCAUCCCAACUUACACUAUGGCCUGUUUCCUUUUACCUAAGACGUUAUGUGGUGUCGAGAUGGAGAAUAUUAUUGCCAAGUUUUGGUGGCAAAAGGGACACGGAAAAAGGGGUAUACAUUGGUGUGCGUAGAGGAACCUUUGUAUUUUGAAGGAAAAUAGAGAUUCAGAUUUCGAAACAUUAGCCAGUUUAAUAUCGCUUUAUUAGCUAAGCAAGGUUGGCGUCUUAUUACUUGUCUGAAUUUCUUAUUGGCAAGAGUUCUUAAAGCCAAGUAUUAUCCAAAUUCAGACUUUCUUAAUGCACAAUUAGGUAACUUACCUGGAAGAGUGUUUGGGCUGCAAAAGGUUUGUUACGAAGUGGGAUGGGUUAGAGAGUAGGAAAGGGAAUUGGAAUCUCAGUUUGGAAUGAUCAUUGGAUAUCAGGAAAAGCUACAGAUGGUUGGAACCACAGAAACAAUAGUGAAGUUAAGUUAGUCUUUGAUUUAAUCGAUGCUACAAAUAAUAUGUGGAAGACAGAUCUAGUGAAAAGUACAUUUCCAGCAGAUAUUGCUCAAAGGAUUUUGCAAACGUCUCUGGCGGAAAACCCAGGCGACAACUUUCAGGUGUGGAAGGGAGAGCUGUCCAGUGAAUUUUCAGUCAAGAGCGCCUACAAACUAUUACAAAAUGCUAGCUUAGAUCCUAAUAAUUUAUUAAUACAGCCCGAUUUGAAAAAUUUCUACAAACAGCUAUGGAAUCUACAACUACCCUCAAAGAUUAUAAUUAUAGUUUGGAGAGCCUCCUGGAACUAUAUGCCUAUUUUAAUCAAUCUGAGAUCUAAACGAGUAGCUGACGAUACUGUAUGCCCUCGUUACAGAUUUAGAGAAGAGGAUGUAUCUUAUGUCUUUCGGUUUUGUCCUGCA